UUAUUUACUCUAAUUAACUUAUACUAUAUUUAUUUACUCUAAUUAACUUACAGUGAAUAUUCUCUCACCUUAUACCCUAAUAAAAAGGUUAAUUCAUCUAGUUCUUUAUUAAAGGAAAAGGAAGCUGAGAUUAUUAGAAGAAUAGCCAAUAUAAACGUGGAAGAGAAGGAAGUGGAUUCUUUGAAGAGCACGCUGGAGAUGAAAGAGAAAGAAUUGUUUGCACUGGAAUCAAAACUUAAUUCUAGAGAAAGAGAGGGGAUCCAAAAGGUCCUUGGUGAACAAAAGGCUACACUGGAUUUGCAGUUGCAGCAGGUUGAUUUUGAAAUGGAACGCAAGCGAAAAUCCCUUCUUGAGGAGUUUAGCAGCAAGGAGGAAACCUUGGAGCAAAGGGAGGCUGAAGUCAACCAUAUGGUAAAAAAGGUUUAAAAAGAAGAGCAAGCCUUGAGUAAGAAGGCUGAGAGAAUAAAAGAACAAAGUAAUGAGAUUGAAGCAAUAUUGAAAUCUUUAAAGGAGAAAGAAAAGACUCUGAAAAUCAAGGAGAAAGAGUUGGAGAAGGAAAACCAACAAUUGGUUGCUGAUCGGGAGACCCUGGAGAAUUUAAAUGCUGAACUUUAGAGGAUAAAAGCUUGGAUUUCUCUGCAGGAGGUGCAAAUACACGAUUGAGAAUUUGAAGCUUGUUGAGGAUGAUAGGUUAGAGAAUUCUCGAUGCGAUUNGAACUGAAACAGGAGAUAGAGCAUACCAGAUUGCAGAAGGACUCUCUUGUGAAGGAAGCUGAAAACUUAAGGGAGGANAGAGAGAGGUUUGAGAAAGAGUGGGAAGUACUAGAUGAAAAGAGAGAAGAAAUUACUAGGAAGCAACAUGAUAUUGAUAUGGAGAAAGAAAGUUUAAGAAAAUUUCAGAACAGUGAAGAAGAAAGAUUGAAAAGCGAGAAACAAAGGUUGCAAGAACAAAGAAAGAAAGAGCUGGAGAAGCUUGAAUUGGAGAAGGAAUCAUUUAGAGAUUCAAUGAAUCAAGAGAAACACCUAUUGUGUAAAAAGGUGAAAAAUGAACAGGCUAAAAUGCUUCAAGAUUUUGAAUCAAAGAUGAGGAAUCUUGGGAAUGAAUUCUAGAAAAGACAGGAAGAAAUGGAAGAAGAUUUGUAGGAAAGAGAGAAAUUUUCAGGAGAAAAUGCAAAGAGAACUUGACAAUAUUAACAUAUUGAAGAAUCUUUCUGAGAAGGAAUGGGAAGAAGCAAAGGCUGAGGGGAUUAGAUUAGAAAAUGAGAGGAAGGAACUUGAAUUGAAUAAGCAGCAACUUCAGUCAGGCCAACUUUCUGAAAUGCUUAUGAAUCUCAGUCAGAAAGUCAAGAAAGAACGUCAACGCCUUGUGGCUGAAAGAAAAAAUUUUCUUGAACUUGUUGAGAAUUUGAAGAAUUGCAAGGUCUGUGGUGAAGUUGUUGGGAACUUUGUUUUAUCAAUACUAAACUAUCUGACCUGAAGGAAAGUGUGAUAAAUUAAACUCAGUAAGCCAAAUUGCACCAGAACCUAUUUUUGAAAUGCACCAGAACUGAGUAAGCCAAAUUGCUUUCUAAUCUGAAUCUGUCAAGAAAAUGUGUUCAAACAAGUUUGAUUUCAUCAAUUAAACAUUAAACAUGUUUGUGAAAGGCUAAUUCGAUUACACAUCGUUCUGUGCAUUUUCCAUAUUCAACUUAUCCAUUUUUUUAGGCAUUUUUUCUGGUUCAAAUUUAGCUGUUGCAAUAGAAACUAUUGAUUGCAAACUGAAAUUGGUGUUUCGAAUAUUAACUGUGGGGUGUAGCAAAAGCUUAAGUCCAUAUAACAAAAUUGAAAACAUUCAAAAAAAGUUUGCAAUAACAUUGAAAAGCUAAAUGGACCAGUACAUCCAAUUGUGAGACCAAGAGCUUAGAUAUACGAAGACUUAUUACUCUCUCUGAAAGUGAAGGUGAAAGUGAAGGUAAUCGGUCCCCUUUUCUCCAGCCGUGAAAUAUGACAGAAAUAUCUUUGACAACAAGUGUAAGAUGAAGUAUGGAAUGCAGCAGACUAACUCACCUAAGCACGAUUACAAAGCAUUGCUUACCUCUUGGAGCUUGCUCCCUGUUGUUAAACUCUGGGAGCUCCUCUUGUGGCUGACUUUCCUUUUUUUCUUUGUAUGCAAACAAGAGUUCAUGUUAGAGUUGAGGGAGUCAGAAAUGGUCAAGCUAUGAUGAUGAAGUAUUGGAGGUGGAUGAUUGACGCUGUCGAAGCUAUCGUGGUUGGGUGUUGGAGGUUUUUUUUUUAAUCUGUGAAUGGCGGAAGUGGAUUCCUUCAGCUACCCUGAGUCGACAAAAGAAUCAAGUGUCUGUGAUAGAGUUCCCCCCCCUGAUCUCGAAUUUUUUAGUGUAUAUGUUCCCCUCUGUUCACUCUGUUCACUUUUCCUUUGCACAAAGGUUAGGCCACUGCCACACUGCUUUCCGCCACUCUAUUUCCCUUUUUUCUGCUCCUCAUGGCCAGGCUAGACAUUUCCGCCUCUGGUAAUAAGUGAAGGUAGUGUAGGUCACUGAGCAAAGAUCUUCAGCCAAAAAUAGAAGAUAAAUCCGAAUGGACGUGAACGUUGAUGGUACGUGCUGCUGACACCUUUUCAUUUUCUUUAAUUUUUUUUCUUUUUUCCUUUUUUUUUCGUUUUUCUUCCU